rnacentral:rRNA from 1 species
CCUACGGGUGGCAGCAGUGGGGAAUAUUGCACAAUGGGGGAAACCCUGAUGCAGCGACGCCGCGUGAGUGAAGAAGUAUUUCGGUAUGUAAAGCUCUAUCAGCAGGGAAGAAAAUGACGUUACCUGACUAAGAAGCCCCGGUAAACUACGUGCCAGAAGCCGCGGUAAUACGUAGGGGGCAGGGGUUAUCCGGAUUUACUGGGUGUAAAGGGAAGUAAGGCGGCAAGGUAGGGCAGAAGUGAACGCCCGCGGCUAAACUGCGGGACGGGUUGUGGAACUAUCUAGCUAGAUGGCAGGAGAGGUAAGUGGAAUUCCUGGUGUAGCGGUGAAAUGCGUAGAUAUUAGGAGGAACACAGUGGCGAAGGCGGCUUACUGGACUGUAAAUGACGCUGAGGCUCGAAGGCGUGGGGAGCAAACAGGAUUAGAUACCCGGGUAGUC